UCAGGUAGAGGCGCGAAAAAGAUGAUUACUCCGAAAAAACGGACAGGCAUCCGUCGGGAGAAAGGCUUUUUCGCCGAAGCGCCGUUCUUGCCAUGCGGACGGUAGGCUGGUGCAUUGCAAAAUAUGUAAUGUACUGUCACAUUAUUGUGAAGCGCUAUCA
rnacentral:ncRNA from 1 species